GACGAACGCUGGCGGCGUGCUUAACACAUGCCAGUCGAACGGAAAGGCCUCUUUCGGGGGGUACUCGAGUGGCGAACGGGUGAGUAACACGUGAGUAACCUGCCCUUUACUUUGGGAUAACUUCAGGAAACUGGGGCUAAUACCGGAUAGGAGCUCCUGCUGCAUGGUGGGGGUUGGAAAGUUUCGGGGGUUGGGGAUGGACUCGCGGCUUAUCAGCUUGUUUGUGGGGGAGUGGCUUACCAAGGCUUUGUCGGGUAGCCGGGCCGAGAGGGUGACCGGGCCCAGUGGGACUGGGAGAAGGCCCAGACGCCUACGGGGGGCAGCCAGGGGGAAUAUUGCAAGAUGGGUGGGAGCCGGAUGCAGCAACCGCGGGGGGGGGAAGACGGCCUUGGGGUUGUAAACCGCGUUCGCUCAUGACGAAGCUUUGUGUGACGGUAGUGGGUAAAGAAGCACCGGCUAACUACGUG
rnacentral:rRNA from 1 species